CCUCACCUCACGGCCCAUAAAUACAGCUGGGAGCGCUGACGCCCACGGCGGCCCAGCGUUUAGUUCAGUGGACGUCCACCCGAAGGCCAUUUCACUCUGCUCCCGUUCUCUUUUUGUGACGACUGGAUGUACAUCACAAUGCGCGACUGGUCACCCUCUUAAAACAUGCGUCGACCCUCAUCCAUGUCAGAACUAGGGAUGAAUUCAGAGGAGUUCAAACUCUCUGCUGUUGCUCCGAGACCUUAAACCAGCAACGUCAGUCGGGUCCAGCCACAAAGUCGUUUUAGAGGAGGAGCCCGACGUCUCACAGAAACCAGUCCUCUCAGGAAGUCAACCAACUCGUGAAGACGGCUAACGAUCCCGGACGCCCACGUGCGUCUCAUGAAAGAGUCCCGUCGUCCUCCUCUCAGCCGGUCCUGAUGAGCUCAGCUAUUUUCAGAAGGGAUGUAUCCGAGUGUGAAACGCAAAGCCCUCUCCAAAGGAUUACUGUGUGAGUGGGAUGCACAGUGCAUGAAGACC
ensembl:lncRNA